GAACAUUGCAUGACUGUGGAAAUCAAUGUUACCCCAUUGAUUUCUAGGAUUGAAUCAGCUGAUCUGCCUGGCUAGGCAGGUGUCCCCUCCCUCCCUCACUGCUUCAUGUGCCCCCCCCCCCCCUCAAAGCUGUUCAUUUGGAAGCGAACAGCCAUCCCAGGUAGAAGGAGUGUUCGGUCAUGGGAAUACGAUAU
rnacentral:snRNA from 1 species